AGAUUAGCUUGCUUUAGUUGUCAGCUAAGUGGCGCACGGGUGAGUAAUGUAUAGGUAAUAUGCCUCUUACUAAGGGAUAACAAAUGGAAACGUUUGCUAAUACCUUAUACUCCUUAUUAACAUAAGUUAAUAAGGGAAAGAUUUAUUGGUAAGAGAUUAGCCUGUAUUGUAUCAGUUAGUUGGUGGGGUAAUGGCUUACCAAGACUAUGACACAUAACUGGUUUGAGAGGAUGAUCAGUCACACUGGAACUGAGACACGGUCCAGACUCCUACGGGAGGCAGCAGUGGGGAAUAUUGCACAAUGGACGAAAGUCUGAUGCAGCAACGCCGCGUGGAGGAUGACACAUUUCGGUGCGUAAACUCCUUUUAUAUGAGAAGAUAAUGACGGUAUUAUAUGAAUAAGCACCGGCUAACUCCGUGCCAGCAGCCGCGGUAAUACGGGGGGUGCAAGCGUUACUCGGAAUCACUGGGCGUAAAGAGCAUGUAGGCGGAUUAAUAAGUUUGAAGUGAAAUCCUAUAGCUUAACUAUAGAACUGCUUUGAAAACUGUUAAUCUAGAAUGUGGGAGAGGUAGAUGGAAUUUCUGGUGUAGGGGUAAA
rnacentral:rRNA from 1 species